GGUGGAGACAAUCACAAGGACAGGUGAAACAGAUCAGAGUGUGACACCUGGAGGGGGUGGAGACAAUCACAAGGACAGGUGAAACAGAUCAGAGUGUGACACCUGGAGGGGGUGGAGACAAUCACAAGGACAGGUGAAACAGAUCAGAGUGUGACACCUGGAGGGGGUGGAGACAAUCACAAGGACAGGUGAAACAGAUCAGAGUGUGACACCUGGAGGGGGUGGAGCCAAUCACAAGGACAGGUGAAACAGAUCAGAGUGUGACACCUGGAGGGGGUGGAGCCAAUCACAAGGACAGGUGAAACAGAUCAGAGUGUGACACCUGGAGGGGGUGGAGCCAAUCACAAGGACAGGUGAAACAGAUCAGAGUGUGACACCUGGAGGGGGUGGAGCCAAUCACAAGGACAGGUGAAACAGAUCAGAGUGUGACACCUGGAGGGGGUGGAGCCAAUCACAAGGACAGGUGAAACAGAUCAGAGUGUGACACCUGGAGGGGGUGGAGCCAAUCACAAGGACAGGUGAAACAGAUCAGAGUGUGACACCUGGAGGGGGUGGAGCCAAUCACAAGGACAGGUGAAACAGAUCAGAGUGUGACACCUGGAGGGGGUGGAGCCAAUCACAAGGACAGGUGAAACAGAUCAGGGCGUGACACUUAAGUAUAUUUGAUCAAUUACAUUUACUUUUGAUAUUUAAGUAUAUUUAAAACAAAAAACUUUUAGACUUUUACUCAAGUAGUAUUUUACUCAGUGUACUUACCUACCAACCUUGUACUGUUUAAUAAUAAGUUUAUGCUAUUUAUCAAGUACCCUACCCGAGUCCUUACCUUAAGGUUUCGUAUCUAUGUCCUCCAACCCAGGGUUUGCAUCCUUCUUUCCUUUCAUUAACGCUCAAUAACUUGUUGUUACCAAUAACAUCUUACUAACUUGUUAUUACCUUAUUUAACAUAUUACUAACCUGUUAUUACCAUUAAUAUAUUACUAACUUGUUGUUACCAAUAACAUCUUACUAACUUGUUAUUACCAUAAUUAACAUAUUACUAACUUGUUAUCACAAUAACAUAAUACUAACUUGUUAUUACCAUAAUUAACAUAUUACUAACUUGUUAUUACCAUAAUUAACAUAUUACUAACUUGUUAUUACCAUUAACAUCUUACUAACUUGUUAUUACCACAAACAUAUUACUAAAUUAUUGUUACCAUUAACAUCUUACUAACUUACUAACGGGGCGGCAGGUAGCCUAGUGGUUAGGUUGUUGGACCAUUAACCAGCAGGUAGACUAGUUGUUAGGGUGUUGGGACAGUAACCAGCAGGUAGCCUAGUGGUUAGGUUGUUGGACCAUUAACCAGCAGGUAGACUAGUUUUUAGGGUGUUGGGACAGUAACCAGCAGGUAGCCUAGUUGUUAGGGUGUUGGGACAGUAACCAGCAGGUAGCCUAGUUGUUAGGGUGUUGGGACAGUAACCAGCAGGUAGCCUAGUUGUUAGGGUGUUGGGACAGUAACCAGCAGGUAGACUAGUUGUUAGGGUGUUGGGACAGUAACCAGCAGGUAGCCUAGUUGUUAGGGUGUUGGGACAGUAACCAGCAGGUAGCCUAGUUGUUAGGGUGUUGGGACAGUAACCAGCAGGUAGCCUAGUUGUUAGGGUGUUGGGACAGUAACCAGCAGGUAGCCUAGUUGUUAGGGUGUUGGGACAGUAACCAGCAGGUAGCCUAGUUGUUAGGGUGUUGGGACAGUAACCAGCAGGUAGCCUAGUUGUUAGGGUGUUGGGACAGUAACCAGCAGGUAGCCUAGUUGUUAGGGUGUUGGGACAGUAACCAGCAGGUAGCCUAGUUGUUAGGGUGUUGGGACAGUAACCAGCAGGUAGCCUAGUUGUUAGGGUGUUGGGACAGUAACCAGCAGGUAGCCUAGUUGUUAGGGUGUUGGGACAGUAACCAGCAGGUAGCCUAGUUGUUAGGGUGUUGGGACAGUACCCAGCAGGUAGACUAGUUGUUAGGGUGUUGGGACAGUACCCAGCAGGUAGACUAGUUGUUAGGGUGUUGGGACAGUAACCAGCAGGUAGCCUAGUUGUUAGGGUGUUGGGACAGUACCCAGCAGGUAGCCUAGUUGUUAGGGUGUUGGGACAGUAACCAGCAGGUAGCCUAGUUGUUAGGGUGUUGGGACAGUAACCAGCAGGUAGCCUAGUUGUUAGGGUGUUGGGACAGUACCCAGCAGGUAGACUAGUUGUUAGGGUGUUGGGACAGUAACUGAAAGGUUGCUAGAUGAAAUCCCCCGAGCUGACAAGGUAAAAAUCUGUUGUUCUGCCCCUGAACAAGGCAGUUAACCCACUGUUCCUAUGCUGUCAUUGUAAAUAAGAAUUUGUUCUUAAUUAAGAGACUUGCCUAGUUAAAAUAAAGGUUAAAUAAAAUUUAAAAAACUUGCUAUUAUGACUAACAUCUUACUAAUUUGUUAUUACCACCAACAACUUACUAACUUGUUAUUGUCGCUAACAUCUUACUAACUUGUUAUUACCAGAUUUAACAAAUUUUGUUAAACUCUUUAUUUCUUAUAAUCUUUUAACUUAUUAGUUUGUUUUAAUUCAAAUCAGUUCAGGAGACGAGCCAAUCACGCUUUUGUGAUCCACAAACACUCCAUAAGCAUCCUUUAAUACCAAGCCACUCCUCUUUGCCCCCUGCCUGCCUUGCCUCCUCCUCUCAUUCCAUGAGCAGAGGUUCUGAACUAUCCAAUCAGGCCCCAGGCCAGCCAGGCACCUGUAAAAUCUUGGUCCUGAUGAAAACGGAGGUGUAUUAAACAAACUAAAUCAAUUUUUAAUUGUAACAAUAAAGAAGCACUUUUAUCCUUCCACUAUCCUUCUCAAUUUCAUCUUCCCUUGAGAUUGAGAUAGCAGAAGUGUUCACUUCCCUUUAAGAGAAGCUUGAUUAAGGGAAAGUGACUGGCUUCGCAGCACUGCAGCUUCCGGGUACCAUAGACUAUAAAGCACAAGCUGAUUUUUCUAGUGCUAAGUAACAUUUGGUGCUCCUAGUUUUUAAGUUGGCAGCACCAGUACUAUCAAUAGAGAAAAUGUUUUCGAGCCCUGAGUGUGACAGUUUGACUUCUCGUCUUUUAAGUUGGCAGCACCAGUGCUAUCAAUAGAGAAAAUGUUUUAGAGCCCUGAGUGUGACAGUUUGACUUCUCGUCUUUUAAGUUGGCAGCACCAGUGCUAUCAAUAGAGAAAAUGUUUUCGAGCCCUGAGUGUGACAGUUUGACUUCUCGUCUUUUAAGUUGGCAGCACCAGUGCUAUCAAUAGAGAAAAUGUUUUAGAGCCCUGAGUGUGACAGUUUGAC